rnacentral:rRNA from 1 species
CCUACGGGAGGCAGCAGUGAGGAAUAUUGGUCAAUGGACGAGAGUCUGAACCAGCCAAGUAGCGUGAAGGAUGACUGCCCUAUGGGUUGUAAACUUCUUUUAUAUGGGAAUAAAACGUUCCACGUGUGGGAUUUUGUAUGUACCAUAUGAAUAAGGAUCGGCUAACUCCGUGCCAGCAGCCGCGGUAAUACGGAGGAUCCGAGCGUUAUCCGGAUUUAUUGGGUUUAAAGGGAGCGUAGGUGGAUUGUUAAGUCAGUUGUGAAAGUUUGCGGCUCAACCGUAAAAUUGCAGUUGAAACUGGCAGUCUUGAGUACAGUAGAGGUGGGCGGAAUUCGUGGUGGAGCGGUGAAAUGCUUAGAUAUCACGAAGAACUCCGAUUGCGAAGGCAGUUCACUGGACUGCAACUGACACUGAGGCUCGAAAGUGUGGGUAUCAAACAGGAUUAGAUACCCCGGUAGUC